rnacentral:lncRNA from 1 species
AGUCGCACCUUGAUGCUUUUAUCCCCCGAUGGCAGCAUCCUGUCGAAGCGCUUCCCUUGCCACAGGGGGUUCCACUGAAGUCCACGAUCCAACAUCUGAGGAAGAGAGUUCGUCAUUUAACAAAAAAGUCGAAGGAGAUGGAGAACGAACUUCGCGGGUUGAGGGAGAGCCACUCUGAGGCCACUGCGGAGGCUACCUACUUUUGAAACCUCCACGUGAAGG